GACGAACGCUGGCGGCGUGCCUAAUACAUGCAAGUCGAGCGGACAGAAGGGAGCUUGCUCCCGGAAGUUAGCGGCGGACGGGUGAGUAACACGUGGGCAACCUACCCUGUAGAUCGGGAUAACAUCGAGAAAUCGGUGCUAAUACCGGAUAAUCAUUUGAAGUGCAUGCUUCGAAUGUAAAAGAUGGCUCCGGCUAUCACUACGGGAUGGCCCGCGGCGCAUUAGCUAGUUGGUAAGGUAAUGGCUUACCAAGGCAACGAUGCGUAGCCGACCUGAGAGGGUGAUCGGCCACACUGGGACUGAGACACGGCACAGACUCCUACGGGAGGCAGCAGUAGGGAAUCUUCCGCAAUGGACGAAAGUCUGACGGAGCAACGCCGCGUGAGUGAUGAAGGUUUUCGGAUCGUAAAGCUCUGUUGUUAGGGAAGAACAAGUGCCGUUUGAAUAAGGCGGCACCUUGACGGUACCUAACCAGAAAGCCACGGCUAACUACGUGCCAGCCGCCGCUGUAACAC
rnacentral:rRNA from 1 species